rnacentral:rRNA from 1 species
CGGACGGGUGAGUAACGCGUAAAGAACUUGCCCUUUAGACUGGGAUAACAGAGGGAAACUUCUGAUAAUACUGGAUAAGUUAGUAUAUCGCAUGAUAUGCAAAUGAAAGCUACGGCACUAAAGGAGAGCUUUGCGUCCUAUUAGCUAGUUGGUAAGGUAAGAGCUUACCAAGGCGAUGAUAGGUAGCCGGCCUGAGAGGGUGGACGGCCACAAGGGGACUGAGAUACGGCCCAGACUCCUACGGGAGGCAGCAGGC